rnacentral:lncRNA from 1 species
AGGCAGAGGCAGUUCAGGGGUAUUCUGGUUGCCUUACCCAGCUCUGAAGUCUGUCAGCCUCUUCAGAUGUCACUUGCCAUGUGGUAAGGAAGUGUAGUCAGCAGCUGGUGCAGUGGGAAGAAGAGAAAGGAAGUUCCCCAAGACAAAAACAUCUCGGCAGACCGUGAUCAUGGGCUACAUUCUCCGUACCAGCUUCAUAGCUCCAGUGAGAAAAUAAAUUCCUGCAUCCAGGAGAUGUGGAGUAAGAGAUACAGCUGCCCUUGACCAUAUUUCUUACUUCCGAGAAGAUCGUAGCAGUAAUUCAGAAUCUCAUCCAGGAUACCUCAUCACAGGCUGGAGUGCAGUGUCAUGAGCUUGGCUCACUACAGCCUCCAUCUUCUGUGCUUAAGGAUCCUUCCCUCUCAACCUCCAAGGUAGCUGAGACUACAGGCAACAUUCGAAACCCAGGUGCCACUCCUUCAGGAAGGUACCAUCAAGCUCCAAGGACUCAUCCUCUUUCUCCUUCCCCACUACCUAGUCAUUAGAGCGUCAGCAUCCACUUCCUGAAAGGAAGAUGCCUGUUUUUCACAUAUCCCAGAAAGCCUCAUUUUAGGACAGCAUUUAGCAGAGUGUAUUCAGGAUCCCACUAACCUUUUCGGAAGACAUGACUUCCAGAUGAUAUAAGGCAAGAAUAAGAAAUUUCAGUGACAGGGAACAGAAAUCAUAUUUCUGCAUUCAGGAUCAUGUUUUCUUGGCUCCAUCAGGAACUGUGCAGGACUGUGCACUCUGUUGAUACUCACAUGGUGGAAUUAUAUUGCCCUUGGCCAACCCUAAAGCCAUCAAGAUAGCAGCAACUACUCUAUCAUUACUGUACCACCACCUGUAUGGAUCUCGUUGCCCAUAUGAAACUGAGUAAGGAACAAUGUGCAUCACACUCACAGAGAAAGAUGGACAAAAUUAAUGAAGGAUCAUUAUUAAGUUUUUAAUGGGUCAAGAGAAAGUUACCACUGAGGUCUUCUCUACCUGGGCAACAAUUGACUCCUAACAACCACUAUAAGCUUGGAAGAUGAUCCCUCCCCAGCUGAUCCUUCAGACUUCCAGUUGGUCGAAUGCAUGGAUGUGGAACCUGUAGAUAUGAAGGACCAACUGUACCACAAACUGUAUGCCUGUAGCCAAUGAAGUAUGGCUAUCUCCUUCAGAAAAAACGGAUCAGAAGUUUACCAGGAUAUCACUGCUCUCAUUUCAUGUAGCUACUCAUUUGGGUGCCUCCUUGGACUGCUGAAUACCAAUGACAUAUAAACAACUACUACAAUACCAAUGACAUAAAAACGACUACUACGAAGAAUCAAGUAUUUUUUGAGUCAAGUAGGACUCUGUCAAAACAAAGAGAAGUAAAGGGACCCCAAAAUGACUAUGACUUUCUCAAGGGGACACAAUUAUUUUUUGAUAGAUCUGGAACAAGAACCUAGAUAUCCUCAAUCCCACUUUAUUGUUCUUUCAUUGGGUUCUGAACACAGAUAAAUAAACAGAAAAUAAAAUUC